ensembl:lncRNA
CCAGGAUCCUGCCUCUUUAUUUUAUUAUGAAUGAAAAGUUGCUGCCUGUUUGGUCUAGCACCCAGUUCUUUGGUACUGGACUAGCACCCAGUUCUUUGAUACUGGACUAUGGUAUUGUUUUUGACCCCCAAACAAUUUAAGUAUUGACAUAAAAGGAAGAUCAGUUGAUCACAACAACUAUGUCACCUUGGCUAAAGUAGUACAGUGAGUAAUAACAGUACCAUCAAGCACAGACCAGAAAAUAACAAACUGUGAUAACUACUAUUUUGUCACCUUUAACCUAGGUACAAGGUUAUUACAGUGGUGCCUCAGUUCAUGAACUCCAUUCUUCCCUCCAUGAUUCUGGUCACAAACCAAACAGGAUAAGAACUGAAUCAAAUUUCUGUGUAUUGAACCUAACCAUAGUAUUGGAUUCAAUUUUCAUCCUGCUCAGUUUGCAACCAGAAUUGUGGAAAAAAUCAAGUUUGUGAACCAAGGUACCACUGUCAAAAGCUAAGACAGAAAAUUGUAUACAGUAAAUGUCCACUCAACAGAGAAAAUUUACAUUAAGGGGAGAAAAUUUUAAAGGGAUAAGAGGAAAAAUAGAGAAAUAAAAGAAGUGAAAGAGGUUAGAAACAAGGCUGGAGGACAAUGGAAGAUUAUCCAGGCCUUGGGAAACUAGUGAAGAAGACAGAAGGGGAAGAAAGAAGAAACAAAAACAAGAACAAAGCAAAACAAACUAAAAACAAUGUUCACACAAAAAAACAUAAACAAUUUUUUAAAUGAACAGGAUUUUUUAAAAGCCCACAAUUUUAAAAAGCCCACAAGGGAAAAGAAAAAAAGAAAUCUUUCUGUGAUUUCAAGCCUGUGGUUAUCUUCUAAAGUCUACUCUUUUGUGGUAGUGUCCAAUUCAGGGCACAGCUCUGUUCUCACUGGUAGACUAAGGAGGCAGUCAGAGCCCAGAUCUGUGCUGGAUAAUCCUAGGAAUCCUGCAGUAGGAUGAGGGUUGGGUGCCAGUUCUGGUACUUUCAAGUCCACAGAUGUUUAGGCUGAUCUAGGCCUCUGCUUGUGGGGUUGGGGCCUGAGUCAUUUAGCUUAUAAUACUCUGGGUGUCUCCUGCUGACCUGACCACAGCUCCCUGACCCUAGACAUCUCCCACAGUUGUCCCUUACCUAGUUACUGAGUUUUUAAUGCUGGAAGCCCUGAGAUGAAGCCAAUCCACAGUGGUUCUGGGUCCCAGGUUCAGUUGGCCCCUCCCUAAAAUGAUGUCCAACCAAGCACUAUCUUCAGGAGAUACUGCAGUGGCUUGGACCGAAAUCAACUCACCAGCUGUUUUAGUGAACAGCAUCCACUGCUGUGUUUCACUGGUGCAUUUCUAUCAGGAGGCCUUUGGAGUCACCUGUUUUCACUAUGCCUCUGUAGAUUUGCUCCUCCCCUCAUGCCAUGAACCAGGAGAGGAGGUGAAGAUUGCCCCUUCCUUUUUCUGCAUUGAGAUCUGUCUUAGUUACCUUUCUUGUUGCUAAGGAAAAAUACCCAAUACCCAAAGUUAAGGAAAGAGUUAUUGUAGCUCACAGUUUGUAGAGGUUUCAGUUCAUAAUUGGCUGGCUCCAAGGCAGAGUGGCAUGGCAGAAGAGAAACAGUUCAUGGCGGGCAUAGGGCAGAAGGCAGCAAGCAGCAAAGUAGGGAAGAAGCAAGUGAUGACAACAGCCCUCCUUCCUAUAUCCAGGCUACCCACCCUUGGGGCUGGUAGCAUUAACACCCAGGUGGGCCUUCCCAUUAUUCACACUCAGAACUAUACCAAACCAAUCAGUGAACUAAUUUAGUAAUCAUACACCCUUAACCUCUGCAUCACACACUCUGGAUCCAGUCACCUCUGAAAAGCCCCACCUAUGACAGUAUGAGGCUUUGGAGGAACAUCUAGACAAAAGCCAAAAACAGUCUGUCUCUUCACUUUCUCUGUGGACUCCAGUUUUCUCUUCAGAUCCCUCCUGGGUCCCAAGGAUCCACCUCACUUCUUUUCAUCCCCACCUUGCUAAAGUUUCUGGAUUCCAAAUCUAGGAGAGGUCAACUUGCUGCUUACUGCUCCACCAUCUUCCCAAAGUCUGUUUCUGAUUUUUAAAACAUAUUUUGGAGCCUAUGAGACCCCUGUGUUUGGUCCCUGAGCUAGAAGAAGGAGGGAUGUGCCGAACAGCAAAACAGGCACCAAGGGCCCGUCGAGUCACAUGCUGUGUCCAAGCCAGUCCCUGCCCAGUCUGGAGAAGGAGCCUAGUUCUGUUCUCAAAGAGACAGGUAUCUUCCAGUUUUCUGCUUAGCACAUAAUCCAAGUGUCACUCCAUCAGGACCAGACUCUUCAUCUGUCCUAGGGCCUGGGGCUGAGUCAUUUUGGUUCAUCACAUCCUCAGCCACACCAUGUGCUAUAAAGGUAAAACCCUGUUAGCACCUCAGUGCACAUUUAUGUGGUUUACACACACAAGAAGCCAUCAAAGGAUCCUUUCCUGCAGGUUCUGCUGGGCUGAGUGGACAGAUGGUGUCCUUGUCCUCAUCUGAAUGGGGUGAAAUGGAAAGUCCUGAGGCUGGUGAGUUAGGGAGGAAGCAAGUGUGGCUGUCCUGCCACAGCCUCAGUGCUUGUCCUGUCAGCCCCUGCCUGUGCCCCCAGGAAUGGCUGGGGACACCCAUCCUGUGGCUCAUGGGGGAUCACAAGUACAGGACCUCCCCCCUGUAGCAUUAUAGCUCAGCAAGACCUCAGUCCAGCUUCAGGGCAUGUGAUCUGAAGGUGAGAUGAUUUGAUUAUCAUUUCAGUAACAGUUGUGCAUAUUUCCUUUAAUUUGUUUCCUUUUUCUUUAAAAGAAAAAAUCUUGGGGCCAGGGAUUUAUUUAGCUCAGUGGUUUCACCGCCUGCUGUGCAAGCACAAGGACCCAAGUUUGAUCCCCGGUACCAAAAAAAUAAAUAAAUAAAAUUUUAAAAAAAAUCUUAAGGGUCAUAUGAAACACUCAAGUGUCUGGUUACAACCAUGGGCUUGUCCUCUGAGUCUGCAGGCUGAGCAGUGCCAUGGGACAGUCAGUGGGCUGCAGGACUCUCAGUUCUUGUUACGAGAGGAAAUUCAGUUCCCAAAAGCCCAGUCAUCAUGAUGAGAGCAAAUGCCCAAGGAAGCCAUAACUGAGGUUGGGCUCUUCCUCAGGCCCCUCGCUCCCUGUGUGUCCCAGGCCAGCACUCCUGCUCCUCACACAAACAAGUGCUCACUGGCCUAAAAGCUCUGCUGGCGCAGCAGCCUCCCAGGGGCCUGGCAGAAGCUCCUGCCACUUACCCGGCUCAGGAUGGAAGCCCUUCCUGUGUCACUGCCUCAGCUCUGCAGAGCCACCAGAGUUUCUUAUCUUUGUGAAAGAUCUGUCACAUGGCAAGUGAAGUGAUAAGCUUGAAUUAUGCUUGCAUUAAUUUAGAGUUUUAAUUUGCUUAGAAAUCUUUUUGUUUUAUACAUGAAAAUGAAGCAACAGGAUCUUGUGUUCAGGUGAAAAUUAAAUCUGAUUUUACCCAAGAUAUGAAGCCAUUAUUCCAGUGUGCCAUUGUAUUGCAGUGUACUAAAGGGUUCUGGGUUCUGUCACAAUAUUUUUUUUUUUUUUUGGUACCAGGGGUCGAACUUGGGACCUUCUGCUUGCAAGGUAGGUGGCGGCACCACUGAGCUAAAUCCCCAGCCCCACAGUAUUUAUUUUUAAAAGAAUGUGCCCCUUCCAAUAGCAUCUUUCCUAUCAAGAGUUCAAGGUGUUUUGCUUUCUGCUUCAGAAUUCUAACACUGGAUCCCACAGCUACCCAUCAGGGCUGGUGUCAUGAAACAUGAACAGCCUUAUGCAGGGCUGCACAGUUCAGCAGUGCAGACAAAACAGCUCAAGGACAAAGGGAAGGAAAGAAGAGAAGGUUUCCAGAGAUGAAGCAUAGAAAACACACUCCACACACAGUUCUCUUGGGGAGGAAAUCACCGGAGCUGGAAGAGUGAAAGAAGAAGCAGAAGCAGCAUUGGGCAGAUGCUCCUUGACUCCCAAGAGCUGGUUGAGGAACAUCCAAGCGAAAUGUUCAGAGGGAUCGAAUGUGGGACCUUGCGCUUGAGAGGUAGGCGGCGGAACCACUGAGCUAAAUCCCCG